rnacentral:rRNA from 1 species
ACUAACCAGGAUUCCCUCAGUAACGGCGAGUGAAGCGGGAAGAGCUCAGACUGAAAAUCUUCGGAAUUGUAGUCUGUCGAGUUCAGGUCACUUUGAGACCUUGGGCAAAGUCUGCUGGAAUGCAGCGCUAGGAAGGGUGACAGCCCCGUCUAUGCCUGAGGUUGAGAGGGUACGACCGGACUUCUACGAGUCGAGUUGUUUGGGAUUGCAGCUCUAAGUGGGUGGUAAAUUCCAUCUAAAGCUAAAUAUUGGUGGGAGACCGAUAGCGAACAAGUACCGUGAGGGAAAGAUGCAAAGAACUUUGAAAAGAGAGUGAAAGAGUACCUGAAAUUGCUGAAAUGGAAACGAUGGGAAGCAGUGUUGGCGGCUAAGGACUAGUCCUUGGUCGCAAGUUAAGCUUUCUUCGUUGCUCGGGAGAGGUUCCAGACCUGUUAUGGGCUGGGUUUGCCGUCGAGUGGCGGAGGGACUUUGACGAAAUGCUUCUUAUCAUCCCGUCUUGAAACACGGACCAAGGAGUCUAACAUGUGUGCGAGUGCCCGGGGUUUGAACCCCUAGCGCGGAAUGAAAGUAAAGGUCCUUUAUUGGGCUGAGGUUGGAAGCCGUAACUGGCGUGCACAAUCGACCGACCAUGAUCCCUCGGGAGAAAGGUUUGAGUGUGAGCAUACAUGUUGGGACCCGAAAGAUGGUGAACUAUGCCUGAGUAGGGCGAAGCCAGGGGAAACUCUGGUGGAGGUCCGUAGCGAUUCUAACGUGCAAAUUGAUCGUCGAACUUGGGUAUAGGGGCGAAAGACUAAUCGAACCAUCUAGUAGCUGGUUCCUCCCGAAAUUUCCCUCAGGAUAGCUGCAACCUUACAGUUUUAUCAGGUAAAGCGAAUGAUUAGAGGCAUCAGGGGUGGAACGUCCUUGACCUAUUCUCAAACUUUAAAUGGGUAAGAGCCCUUGGUUUCUUAAUUGAACCAGGCGGUUGAAUGAAGGUUGCUAGUGGGCCAAUCUGGGUAAGCUAGAUUGGCGAUGCGGGAUGAACCGAACGUCAAGUUAAAGUGCCAAAGUAUCCGCUAACCUAGAUCCCACAAAAGGUGUUGGUUCAUUAAGACAGCAGGACGGUGGCCAUGGAAGUCGGAACCCG